CCAAACCCAAACGGGGCAAGGGGUUCCCUCAAGGGCUACCUGAAAAAGGGGGCUUUUCCUUGGUCUAAAAAGCUUCGGGAAUAAGAGGGGGGCAAGACUGGUGUCAGCCGCCGCGGUAACACCAGCCCCUCGAGUGGUGGGGAUGAUUAUUUGGCCUAAAGCGUUCGUAGCCGGCCGGGUAAGUUUCCCGUUAAAUCCAGCGUCUCAAGCGUUGGACUGCGGGAAAUACUGCAUGGCUAGAGAGUGGGAGAGGUGUACGGUAUUCUGGGGGUAGGGGCGAAAUCCUUUGAUCCCCGGAGGACCACCAGUGGCGAAGGCUGUACACUAGAACACGUCUGACGGUCAGGGACGAAAGCUGGGGUAGCGAACCGGAUUAGAUACCCGGGUAGUCCCAGCUGUAAACGAUGCAUGCUAGGUGUUGGGUUGGCCACGAGCCACCCCAGUGCCGCAGGGAAGCCAUUAAACCUGCCGCCUGGGGAGUACGGCCGCAAGGCUGAAACCUAAAGGAAUUGGCGGGAGA
rnacentral:rRNA from 1 species